rnacentral:rRNA from 1 species
CACGUAGGGGGGCAAGCGUUGUCCGGAUUUAUUGGGCGUAAAGAGCUCGUAGGCGGCUUAGUAAGUCGGGUGUGAAACCUCCAGGCUCAACCUGGAGACGCCACCCGAUACUGCUGUGGCUAGAGUCCGGUAGGGGAGCGUGGAAUUCCUGGUGUAGCGGUGAAAUGCGCAGAUAUCAGGAGGAACACCGAUGGCGAAGGCAGGUCUCUGGGCAUUAACUGACGCUGAGGAGCGAAAGCAUGGGGAGCGAACAGG